UUCCUCAGCAGGUCACUCGCCCUUCUUUGUCCAACACCGUUUGAACAAUCGAAGUCAAGAGUCUGGCAUGGAUGAUGCCUACACUGUCCAACUGAGUACCUCUUGAGUCAAGAGACCUUUCAACAAGCUCCAUUCCUGCACCCCUCUCACCCCCAACACCCAGAACAAGAAGAAGGAGUCUGCUUCCAAACACUGCAGCAUUCAAACCAGUCCCUGAAGUCCACACCUUACUGUCCUCAUUAUCAGCACCAGGACACCUAAGGAUUCCUUGCCUUCAACAGGUGAGAGCCAUUGUAUGUCUGCUACUGUUCCCUGAUCUGUAUACCAGCUUUCAUGCUGAUGAUCUUGAU
ensembl:lncRNA